UAUUUCCUCAUAGCAAUUGCCUCGUUGGUGUGACGCUUUUACUCGCUUGUUUUUUCUACAAUAGGUGAAGCUACGAAAGAAGUUUGCAUUCAAGAAAUUCAUGUGGUCUGCAGAUGUGUUCCCUGAUGAACUACCCGGACUUCCAGUGGAUAGAAAAGUUGAGUUCACCAUAGAUCUUCAGCCUAGCACCCAACCUAUCUUAGUUUUUCCUUACUGCA
rnacentral:lncRNA from 1 species